rnacentral:rRNA from 1 species
UCGAGAAUCUUUCGCAAUGGGGGAAACCCUGACGAAGCGACGCCGCGUGAGCGAUGAAGGUCUUCGGAUUGUAAAGCUCUGUCACAAGGGACGAACGUUUUUCUGUGAACAAUAGAAAAGCUUGACGGUACCUUGAGAGGAAGCCCCGGCUAACUCUGUGCCAGCAGCCGCGGUAAUACAGAGGGGGCACGCGUUGUUCGGAUUUACUGGGUGUAAAGGGUGCGUAGGCUGUCUUGUAAGUUAGAUGUGAAAUCUCAAGGCUUAACCUUGAAACUGCAUUUAAUACUGCUCGACUAGAGUACGAAAGAGGGAGAUGGAAUUCUCGGUGGAAGAGUGAAAUCUGCAGAUAUCGAGAGGAACACCAGUAGCGAAGGCGAUCUCCUGGGUCGAUACUGACGCUGAGUGCACGAAAGCUAGGGGAGCAAACG